UAGAUGUGUUAGACCAAAUGGGGACG
rnacentral:piRNA from 1 species